AGUGAACGCUGGCGGUAGGCCUAACACAUGCAAGUCGAACGGCAGCACAGGAUAGCUUGCUCUCUGGGUGGCGGGUGGCGGACGGGUGAGGAAUACAUCGGAAUCUGCCCAGUCGUGGGGGAUAACGUAGGGAAACUUACGCUAAUACCGCAUACGACCUUCGGGUGAAAGAGGGGGAUCGCAAGACCUCUCGCGAUUGGAUGAGCCGAUGUCGGAUUAGCUAGUUGGCGGGGUAAUGGCCCACCAAGGCGACGAUCCGUAGCUGGUCUGAGAGGAUGAUCAGCCACACUGGAACUGAGACACGGUCCAGACUCCUACGGGAGGCAGCAGUGGGGAAUAUUGGACAAUGGGCGCAAGCCUGAUCCAGCCAUACCGCGUGGGUGAAGAAGGCCUUCGGGUUGUAAAGCCCUUUUGUUGGGAAAGAAAUCUUUCAGGCUAAUACCCUGGGAGGAUGACGGUACCCAAAGAAUAAGCACCGGCUAACUUCGUG
rnacentral:rRNA from 1 species